AACGAACGCUGGCGGCAUGCCUAACACAUGCAAGUCGAACGAGACCUUCGGGUCUAGUGGCGCACGGGUGCGUAACGCGUGGGAAUCUGCCCUUGGGUUCGGGAUAACAGUUGGAAACGACUGCUAAUACCGGAUGAUGUCUUCGGACCAAAGAUUUAUCGCCCAAGGAUGAGCCCGCGUAGGAUUAGCUUGUUGGUGAGGUAAGAGCUCACCAAGGCGACGCUCCUUAGCUGGUCUGAGAGGAUGAUUAGCCACACUGGGACUGAGACACGGCCCAGACUCCUACGGGAGGCAGCAGUGGGGAAUAUUGGACAAUGGGCGAAAGCCUGAUCCAGCAAUGCCGCGUGAGUGAUGAAGGCCUUAGGGUUGUAAAGCUCUUUUACCCGGGAUGAUAAUGACAGUACCGGGAGAAUAAGCCCCGGCUAACUCCGUGCCAGCCGCCGCAGUAA
rnacentral:rRNA from 1 species